UAUAUGGGUCCAACUGGUAAU
rnacentral:siRNA from 1 species